rnacentral:rRNA from 1 species
GACGAACGCUGGCGGCGUGCCUAAUACAUGCAAGUAGAACGCUGAAGGAGGAGCUUGCUUCUCUGGAUGAGUUGCGAACGGGUGAGUAACGCGUAGGUAACCUGCCUGGUAGCGGGGGAUAACUAUUGGAAACGAUAGCUAAUACCGCAUAAUAGUAGAUGUUGCAUGACAUUUGCUUAAAAGGUGCAAUUGCAUCACUACCAGAUGGACCUGCGUUGUAUUAGCUAGUUGGUGAGGUAACGGCUCACCAAGGCAACGAUACAUAGCCGACCUGAGAGGGUGAUCGGCCACACUGGGACUGAGACACGGCCCAGACUCCUACGGGAGGCAGCAGUAGGGAAUCUUCGGCAAUGGGGGGAACCCUGACCGAGCAACGCCGCGUGAGUGAAGAAGGUUUUCGGAUCGUAAAGCUCUGUUGUAAGAGAAGAACGAGUGUGAGAGUGGAAAGUUCACACUGU